rnacentral:rRNA from 2 species
AGCAGCCGCGGUAAUUCCAGCUCCAAUAGCGUAUAUUAAAGUUGUUGCAGUUAAAAAGCUCGUAGUUGAAUUUCGGGAUCAAUUAGUCGGUCGUGCCUCUGGUACGUACUGGUUUUAUUGGUUCCUCCCUUCUGACGAAACAUGAUGUCAUUAAUUUGGUGUCGUGGAGAAUCAGGACUGUUACCUUGAAAAAUUAGAGUGUUUAUAGCAGGCUAACGCUUGAAUACAUUAGCAUGGAAUAAUGAAAUAGGACGUUCGACCCUAUUUUGUUGGUUUCUAGGAUCGACGUAAUGAUUAAUAGGGAUAGUUGGGGGCAUUAGUAUUCAAUUGUCAGAGGUGAAAUUCUUGGAUUUAUUGAAGACUAACUACUGCGAAAGCAUUUGCCAAGGAUGUUUUCAUUAAUCAAGAACGAAAGUUAGGGGAUCGAAGACGAUCAGAUACCGUCGUAGU